rnacentral:lncRNA from 10 species
CCCCAACUCACUCUUCGACAUCCAGGUGAAGCGGAUUCACGAAUAUAAACGACAGCUCCUCAACUGCCUCCAUGUCAUCACCCUGUACAACCGCAUCAAGAGGGAGCCCAAUAAGUUUUUUGUGCCUCGGACUGUGAUGAUUGGAGGGAAGGCUGCACCUGGGUACCACAUGGCCAAGAUGAUCAUCAGACUCGUCACAGCCAUCGGGGAUGUGGUCAACCAUGACCCGGCAGUGGGUGACCGCCUCCGUGUCAUCUUCCUGGAGAACUACCGAGUCUCACUGGCCGAGAAAGGUGGGUGCUGCCAACAGGGACCCUAGGGAGGCUCUGACUAGUUCAGUCUCAGGAAGAGGUAUCAGUCGUCUCUUCCUGGGAUACUUGUACUUGAAAGAAGAAUCUGGAGAGGGCAAUGCUUAAACCAUGAGGAGGCCAGGCGCAGUGGCCCAUGCCUGUAAUCCCAGCACUUUGGGA